GACGAACGCUGGCGGCGUGCUUAACACAUGCAAGUCGAACGAUGAAGCCGGAGCUUGCUCUGGUGAAUUAGUGGCGAACGGGUGAGUAACACGUGAGUAACCUGCCCUUGACUCUGGGAUAACUGCGGGAAACUGUAGCUAAUACCGGAUACGACCCUCGGAGGCAUCUCCUGGGGGUGGAAAAGAAUUUCGGUCAAGGAUGGACUCGCGGCCUAUCAGCUAGUUGGUGAGGUAAAGGCUCACCAAGGCGACGACGGGUAGCCGGCCUGAGAGGGUGACCGGCCACACUGGGACUGAGACACGGCCCAGACUCCUACGGGAGGCAGCAGUGGGGAAUAUUGCACAAUGGGCGCAAGCCUGAUGCAGCAACGCCGCGUGAGGGAUGACGGCCUUCGGGUUGUAAACCUCUUUUAGCAGGGAAGAAGCGAAAGUGACGGUACCUGCAGAAAAAGCACCGGCUAACUACGUGCCAGCCGCCGCUGUAA
rnacentral:rRNA from 1 species